rnacentral:lncRNA from 1 species
GCGGGGCUGCGCCCACCCUGCCCGGCCGCUCCGGACCUGCGGCUCCUCAGCAUCCCAAAUCCCCCCACUCUAAUUUAUUUAUCUCCCCCCAAAAACAAACAAACAAAAAGUUUAAGAUCCUUUUUCUGUUUAGAAAUUAAUUGGCAAGGAACCGCCUUUCUGGUGCUGGGACAGAGAAAACACUGCGAAAGUCCCCAAGCGGAGCCCCCCGGCGGUCCCUCCCUGCCGGACCCGAGGCCGUACGGGGGCGAUGCCCGCAGCCCGGCCCCAUUUGUCCCGCUGCCCUACAGCCCCGUAGGGAACCGCGGAGGCAAAGCCACGCAAAGUGCUCCCUUCCCCGAAAAGUUGCGGGUGGGACACCGGCAGCGGGCUGGAGGGGGGACGUGGAAACCGGGGGGAGGAGGGGGGGAACUGGAUAAAAUGCCCCUUCGUGUUAUUAUUGCAGGCGCUCCGGGGCUCAGUUUUGUGCGGCAAUGCGAGGAAAGGCCGCCUGGUCUGCAUUUUCCCCCCGAGCUUUGGAGGGCAUUUAACUCCCCGGUACGGCACCGCCUGGGAUCGGUGCACGUCGGUGGACCUGUGGGCAGGACGCGGAGCAGCACUCCAGAAGGCUGGUUUAUAAAAAAGGAGAAGAUAGAGAAUUUCAUCCAAGAAUUCCCAGCUGGAGACAUCUGUUCAGCAGCAAGUCACCUGAUGAACAGUUCUAACCAGCCAAGUGUAUAACGAUGAGACAUUGCUCCGUGCCAUGUUGCCCCAGGUGCUCCAUCCACUAAGUCCCCGUGCAAAGACAUCCAAGCACUCUGCCUCUCGGCUCUGCUCGGUGUGGAGCCGUGUCUCACUGAGCAGCUUCUGGCCAGCUGCACCACAAGGGAUGCGUUUUUCCUUGGCUCCAGCUAUUCAGCGUCAUCAGCAGAGAUACGAUCUUUCUUCAAGGCAGGUCGAUGUUGUAUACAGAAGGCUGGAGCCUAGGCCAGCUGUGCGCUUUGCCUUUGAAUUCAGUAGGGAAAAAACCUGUGUCCAAGUCUGAACUUGGACGCAAUAAAGCUCUACUUAAGAGUGAAAGGGAAGGAAAG